rnacentral:rRNA from 1 species
GCCCCAGCUAACUACGUGCCAGCAGCUGCGGUAAUACGUAGGGUGCAAGCGUUAUCCGGAAUCACUGUGCGUAAAGGGUCCGCAUGUGUCCCGUNNAGUNAGAUGNUAAAUCGCAGUGCUCAANCUUGCGGCUGCAUCUAAUACUGACAGGAUAGAGGAUAGGUGACGGGAGUGAANUCCNUGGNNUGAGAGUAAAAUCCGUAGAUAUCAGGAGGUACACCCGUGGCGUAAGUCGGCUUCCGAACCUAUUCCUGACACUCAGGGACGAAAGCUAGGGGAGCAAACAGGAUUAGAUACCCUGGUAGUCCUAGCUGUAAACGAUGAAUACUAGAUACUGGGUGCUACACCGUACUCACCGUCGUAGCUAACGCGUUAAGUAUUUCGCCUGGGAACUACGAUCGCAAGUUUGAAACUCAAAGGAAUUGACGGGUCCCCGCACAAGCAGCGAGGCAUGUGGCUUAAUUCGAUGCAACACGAAGAACCUUACCUGGACUUGACAUGUUUCUGAAAGGCCGGAGAAACCCGGUCCCUUCCAGUUUACUGGAACAGUUUCACAGGUGGUGCAUGGUUGUCGUCAGCUCGUGUCGUGAGAUGUAAGGUUAAGUCCUUAAACGAGCGUAACCUUUGUCAUUAGUUGCCACCGGUUCGGCCGAGCACUCUAAUGAGACCGCUAGCGACAAGCUAGAGGAAGAUGGAGAUGACGUCAAAUCCUCACGUCCCUUAUGUCCAGGGCCGCACACAUGCGACAAUGGUAGAGACAGCGGGUUGCGACGGGGUAACCCUGAGCUAAUCCAUAAACUCUGCCUCAGUACAGAUCGAGGGCUGAAAUUCGACCUCGUGAAGAUGGAGUUGCUAGUAAACGCAGGUCAGCUAUACUGCGUUGAAUACGUUCCACGGGGAUUGUACACACCGCCCGUCACACCACCCGAGUCGUGUGCACCCGAAGUCGGAUACCCUAACCUUUGGAAGGGUCUGCCGAAGGUG